rnacentral:miRNA from 2 species
CUGAGCAAAGGAAAUGUUAGGCCG